CUUGUACACACCGCCCGUCACAUCAUGAAAGUCGAUUGUACCCGAAGUCACUGAGUUAACUUGCAAAAGAGACAGGUGCCGAAGGUAUGGUUGGUAAUUGGGAUGAAGUCGUAACAAGGUAGCCGUAGGGGAACCUGUGGCUGGAUCACCUCCUUU
rnacentral:rRNA from 1 species